GUGGGGAAUAUUGGACAAUGGGCGAAAGCCUGAUCCAGCCAUGCCGCGUGUGUGAAGAAGGUCUUCGGAUUGUAAAGCACUUUAAGUUGGGAGGAAGGGCAUUAACCUAAUACGUUAGUGUUUUGACGUUACCGACAGAAUAAGCACCGGCUAACUUCGUGCCAGCAGCCGCGGUAAUACGAAGGGUGCAAGCGUUAAUCGGAAUUACUGGGCGUAAAGCGCGCGUAGGUGGUUCGUUAAGUUGGAUGUGAAAGCCCCGGGCUAAACCUGGGAACUGCAUCCAAAACUGGCGAGCUAGAGUACGGUAGAGGGUGGUGGAAUUUCCUGUGUAGCGGUGAAAUGCGUAGAUAUAGGAAGGAACACCAGUGGCGAAGGCGACCACCUGGACUGAUACUGACACUGAGGUGCGAAAGCGUGGGGAGCAAACAGGAUUAGAUACCCGUGUAGUCC
rnacentral:rRNA from 1 species